rnacentral:rRNA from 1 species
CACCAGCCCCUCGGGUGGUGGGGAUGAUUAUUUGGCCUAAAGCGUCCGUAGCCGACCGGGUAAGUUUCCCGUUAAAUCCAGCGUCUCAAGCGUUGGACUGCGGGAAAUACUGCCUGGCUAGAGAGUGGGAGAGGUGUACGGUAUUCUGGGGGUAGGGGCGAAAUCCUUUGAUCCCCGGAGGACCACCAGUGGCGAAGGCUGCUGACUAGAACACGUCUGACGGUCAGGGACGAAAGCUGGGGUAGCGAACCGGAUUAGAUACCCGGGUAGUCCCAGCCGUAAACGAUGCAUGCUAGGUGUUGGGUUGGCCACGAGCCACCCCAGUGCCGCAGGGAAGCCGUUAAGCAUGCCGCCUGGGAGUACGAUCGCAAGAUCGAAACUUAAAGGAAUUUGCGGGGGAGCACCACCAGGCGUGAAGCCUGCGGUUU